GUGUCAUGUUUACACUGGUGUGUGGGGUAAAUGACGAAACGGUGGAGCAUAUUGUGCUAGACUGCGCGAGACUCAAGCCGUCCCGGUCACAGGACAAUGGCCCAAGGCGUCCGAGACCCUUAGCGCUCGCUGAAGCGUUGGGCUUCA